GAUCUGCCUCUCUCUCUCCUCCAUUGAAGCGAACUCGAAUUUCUCCAUUGAAGGGGCUUCUGAGCUUUCUCUCAACACUUUCCUCAAACUCCUUCUCUCUUCUUCGAUCUCUAUAACCGCCACUUUCCCUUUCCUUUCAUAUCUCUUUCGAUCUCCUUCUCCUUCUCUCUUUGAGGUUAGGGUUUCUUGGUGCGUCUAUUUUGAAUCAAUUCGAUGUGCGUGCGUCUUCAACAACAACAAAUUUGAAUCAAUUUCGAACCAAAAAUUAGAAAUUCGUUUCUUGGUUAUUUAGCUUUGCGUUAUAUUGUAGCAGUUCUGAGCUUUCUCCUCCAUUGAAACAACUUCUAAGGGUUUGAUACGAAUUGCUGGAUUCUCUCUUCUGCUCGAUUAUCUGUUGAGUAAUCACCCAAAUCGAAAGUUUCAGUUUUCUAAGGAUGGUGUGAAGUAUAUUGAAGAGAUGAGAGUAUACCUUGUUAUCCCAACUCCACCAUCUCCAGAGUUGUUACCCCUCAAUGGAAUAGUGAAACAGGUAACAAUUUCUGACAUUUGAAGUUUCUGGUUACAUUGACUUAUUUUUGAUAUGUUAUGCCCCCUGAAUAAUGAUAGCAAGUUUCAUUUUAUUGAUCUUUUAAAUAUCAAGAUGUUUAACAAGAAUUUUGUGGUGUUUAUUCCCCCCCCCCCCCCCCCCCUUUUUUAUGCUGCUGGUUGAUGAUCAUGUUGAGUCUAAAACAGUAAACCAGGAGGAUUUGAAGCCAGUUACAAUCCAUAAGGAUUUUCCUCAAUCUCAAGAUGUAAAAUCAGAACCAAUUAAGCAGAUGACUCUAGUUUGAAGAAAGAUGUUGAGACUCCUGGGCGAGAGUUUAUGCUUCGUGUUUCUUUUAUUAAGUUUUCUGGUUCAAGUAUUUAUUUCAGGGUUUACUUAUAAGUAGAAUUGUAUUUAACUGAAUCCUGUGAUUUCAGAUUAUCACUGAUUUGCUUAAUCCAACUGGUCAGAAUCUACGUGUAAGAGAAGAUGCCCAGGUUUGUGUUGGUUUCAGUUAUUGGCUAGAAUAUAAUCUUUCCAUAUUAUGUCUGUUUUUGGCUCUUAGUGUUAUGUCUUUGCUGAUGCUCCAUUAUUUUACUACAUUUAUUGGAAUCAUUAGCUGGUUCGUCGUCCAUUUGAGACAAUCUCAGUAAUCUAAAGUGGCUUAUAAAAAUCUCUCUAAGUAAGACCAAGAUUCUCACAGCUGGUACAUUUCUGAUCUAUAAUUUGGUGUAUGAAAACCAUAUGAGGUAUCUUUAGUAACCUUCUUGAAGAUAUGAAGUGAGGCUGCUUCAAGUAUGUAAUGUAAAUUUAAAUGUUUGUUAUAGGUAAUUGAACAGAAGGGCCUUGAUAUGGUGCAUUGUGAUUGGAGCUUGUUAUCAAAGGAAGUUGGGGACUACUGCUUGAGUCCGAUACUUUCUAGAGAUCCCGUGAGGAUGUUGUGGAGUCGGUACAUAGUUAUCUUAUGAAGGAAUCAUGACAUAUUAUGGUCUCGAGAGUUGCAUUUUGAACAGUCGACUGUACACAAGUGAGAAUUCAAUCUGUGGGGAGAAUGAUUGUCCAGCAGACUCUUUUAAUGGAGGAGAAACCAGCUGCUCAUCAAGCAAAGAUGCUUUUGGAUCUUUCUUUUCUAAUAGGAUUAUGAAGAGGAACCAUGAAGAAACAGAUGAGUGGAGUGUCCUCGAAAGCUCAGAACAUAUUUUGGUUCCUUUGCACCAGAUGCAUAGAUGGAUGCAGUCAAGUCUUAUUUGGGAAUUGCUACUGCCUCUUAUCUUUGAUUGUCUAGAUUUUUUUCCUUUUUUUUCAGUUUUUUAAAGUGUAAUAUUACAAGUUAUUGAAGAAAAUAUAUGUGUUUUAUGUA